AAAAAAAAAUACUCCAACUGCACCUAAAAAAAGAAUCUGUAAUAUUCGGUGCUUGACACAAAAUAAAUUUGACUUUUAGAGUCUAAAUGCAGAGUUUAAAUAUUAGUUACAUGAAGGAUAAAUGAAUCUAUAUUUUGAUCCAGUACAAGUAGAUUUGUAAAUGUAAAGCUAGUCUUACACUGGCUUUACCACCUGGUAUGUACGCUAAAGUUAGUUUGUUCCCCAGUCAUAGAAAGCUAUGUAUGUGCCACUCACGGCACGACCAGCACUGUACUUUAUAUGUCUCCCAAUACUGGAUCCAAAAUUCUCUGUACACAGGACAGCAAUAGGGCUUUACACUACAUAAUCUAUACAAUGCCACCAUGUUAGAUACAAUUUGACUGUUUAAAUUCUUCAAGUGACUCAUUGAUUCUGAACAAAAUCUUAUUUGGUAAUAGCGUUGGCUCAGGUUUAUUUAUAGUCUGAGCUAUCCAGGUGGGAACAGUAUUUCAAUGGAAGAUUUAUUUUCCAAAGGUAGCUUUUAUUCUCCAUAAACUUCAGAGCAUCAGAGCUCCUGUUUGAAUUAAGGACUGUUUAAACCGGACGAACAAUGCAACUUCUAAACAAAUAUUUUAUGUGCAUGUCUACAUGUUCUUCUGCGCUGUUCUUGCAUGUUUCAUGCAUUUUUUUGCCGUGUGUUUUUUAACUGGAUAAUGUUUCCAUUUCUUUCUUCUUUGUGUUUGAAAGAUUGUAAAGGUGAUCAUUAAAAUUCCUUGUGACACUAUUGUGCGAAUAAAGACCGGAAAAGCCCUUAUACUUUCUCUCUCCCUCCUUAGAGGGUUUCGAUCGCUUGGACCUAAUGUUGUGCAGUUUUUAACUGAAUUUCUCUGUAACUGAAAGAAGGAAUCCCUUUUGUAUUGGCACGUUUGUGAUUUUGUUUGUGAUUUUGGACACCAGAAUUUGUGUUUUGUUGUCUUUUUCUGAAUGUACUGUUUUCCAAUGCAAAUUGUUGAAUUUUUAAAACAGA